rnacentral:lncRNA from 1 species
CAACAAAGUGCAAGACAACAGUGUUUACAGGAAAUAACUUUCCCAACCUUUCAUUCACUAAAAGGAAACAAUACAAGAGACACCUCUCACAGAACUCUUCCCAAAGUGUUCUAGCAGUGCUCUCUCUUUAGCUCUCUCCCUAGCUAAUGGGGUCCCCUCUCCCGGGGUUCCUCCCCACAUUUACAUGUGUAUGAGUAUAUAUAGGAUACAACAACAGUUUACAAGAAGUUGUGGUUGACACCCCCAACCACUAAGGAGAAAAAUCCGCCCACUACUCAUUAUGGAAGUUAUAUAACUACCCACUACUCAUCAUGGAAGUUAUAUAACCGCCCACUAAUGAUCAUGGGAGUUAUAACUACCCACUUCCCAUUAUGGGAGUUAUAACUACCCACUAUCCCUCAUGGGAGAACAUGCCCACUACUCAUCAUGGGAGAACAUGCCCCACUCCAGCAUCACUUCCCCACGUUUGUAGGCCACUCCUUUGCAUACAGCAACUUCCAUCCCGACUGUAGCAGCAUCCCCACAUGAUAGAUCGAACCGACACUCGAAGUCCAGCCCUUGCACUCAGCAGUCCUCCAGCCUGCCCAAGCACACAGCCUUGCCAAUCAAGCACGCCCCUGC